rnacentral:rRNA from 1 species
GGGUCAGCAGGUUGGUCGUGCCUACGGUAUGCACUGGCCUUGCUGAUCCCUCCCUCUUGAUGAGCCGUAAUGUCAUUAAUUUGGUGUUGCGGGGAAUCAGGACUGUUACUUUGAAAAAAUUAGAGUGUUUAAAGCAGGCGUUAGUGCUUGAAUACAUUAGCAUGGAAUAAUAGAAUAGGA